rnacentral:rRNA from 1 species
UACGAAGGGAGCUAGCGUUGUCCGGAAUCAUUGGGCGUAAAGAGCGUGUAGGCGGCCAGAUAAGUCCGCUGUGAAAUCUCGAGGCUCAACUUCGAGCUGUCGGUGGAAACUGUCUGGCUAGAGUCCGGAAGAGGAGAAUGGAAUUCCUGGUGUAGCGGUGAAAUGCGCAGAUAUCAGGAAGAACACCCGUGGCGAAGGCGGUUCUCUGGGACGGUACUGACGCUGAGACGCGAAAGCGUGGGGAGCGAACAGG